rnacentral:rRNA from 1 species
CUACGGGACGCACCAGUGGGGAAUAUUGGACAAUGGGGGCAACCCUGAUCCAGCCAUGCCGCGUGAGUGAUGAAGGCCCUAGGGUUGUAAAGCUCUUUUGUGCGGGAAGAUAAUGACGGUACCGCAAGAAUAAGCCCCGGCUAACUUCGUGCCAGCAGCCGCGGUAAUACGAAGGGGGCUAGCGUUGCUCGGAAUCACUGGGCGUAAAGGGUGCGUAGGCGGGUUUUUAAGUCAGGGGUGAAAUCCUGGAGCUCAACUCCAGAACUGCCCUUGAUACUGAAGAUCUUGAGUCCGGGAGAGGUGAGUGGAACUGCGAGUGUAGAGGUGAAAUUCGUAGAUAUUCGCAAGAACACCAGUGGCGAAGGCGGCUCACUGGCCCGGUACUGACGCUGAGGCACGAAAGCGUGGGGAGCAAACAGGAUUAGAUACCCGCGUAGUC